rnacentral:rRNA from 1 species
AAUCAACGCUGGCGGCGUGCCUCAGACAUGCAAGUCGAACGCGAAAGUUUCCUUCGGGAAGCGAGUAGAGUGGCGUCCGGGUGAGUAACACGUAGGUAAUCUACCUUUGGGUGGGGAAUAACAACCGGAAACGGUUGCUAAUACCGCAUAAUGCAGCGGCACCACAUGGUGACAGUUGUUAAAGCGGGGGAUCGCAAGACCUCGCGCCUAAAGAGGAGCCUGCGGCGGAUUAGCUAGUGGUAAGGUAACGGCUUACCAAGGCAACGAUCCGUAGCCGGCCUGAGAGGGCGGUCGGCCACACUGACACUGAAAUACGGGUCAGACUCCUACGGGAGGCAGCAGUCGGGAAUUUUGGGCAAUGGGCGAAAGCCUGACCCAGCAACGCCGCGUGAAGGAUGAAAUCCCUCGGGAUGUAAACUUCGCAAGAACAGGAAGAAUAAAGUAGGGGACAAUACCCCCUAUGAUGACGGUACUGUUUGUAAGCUCCGGCUAACUCCGUGCCAGCCGCCGCU